rnacentral:sRNA from 1 species
GUUCCAGAAUUUCCUUCGAUGUGGAGAGGAGGUUUCUGGGAGAAAUAGGGGUUUUCUGGGAGCUCCUUGGGCGAUUGAGAGCUUCACACGUCUCUUCGCCUUCUCCGCAGCGAUUUGAGAAUUUGCCCUUGGGAUUCCUGAGGACAGCAGAGUGGAGGAAAGUGAACAACCAGGACCUUGUAGCUGCCAGGUGGACAGAGUUUGGUGGUGGCAUGUUCGGGGUGAGGCUGAUUGGAAAAGCUGGUCCCUGGCUGGGGGUGGAGAUGCAGAAGGCAAGGCUGACUGGCAUCCUGGGAUGAAUAUGAAGACCAGAAACUCUUAGUGGCUACACUUGAACUGCUGUGUGGAGAGAGGCUGAGGAAGAGACUAGUGCAAUCAGACACACCCCUGUCUGGUCAUGUUACCUCCUAAGUUCACUGCUAUGGCACUGGCGAUUCUGCAGGACUGGUGUGGGUGGAUGGGUGUCAAUGCCCAGCGCUCACUGCUUAUCCUGGGCAUCCCCGAUGACUGUGGUGAAGAAGAAUUUCAGGAGGCAGUGCAGGCUGCCCUCAGGCCCCUGGGCAGGUACCGAGUGCUUGGCAAAGUCUUCAGAAAGGAGAUUGGGGCAAAGGUCGCUUUGGUUGAAUUCGCUGACAAUUUAAACCAAAGUUUGAUCCCCCAACAAAUACCAAAUAAUAGGGGGUCCUGGAGUGUGAUCUUCCUUCCUCCAGUCCCUGAAGUUGAGUCACAGGAUACAUUCAGUUUCCCUGCACAGGCUCAUGGGCAAGCUUUGGAAGGGGCUUCAGGUGGGGUAGGAGUUUCAGGUAGGUCAGGAACUUCAGUUGGGGAAGGACAUGUAGAUGAGAUAGGAGCUGUGGGUGAGGCAGGAGGAACAGCUGAGGAAGGAGCUG